rnacentral:lncRNA from 1 species
AUACAUGCAUUUCUCUGAUUCUCUGCCUUUUAAUUACAGGUAUUUGAGAUAAAUGUAUUUUACUAUAAAUUUACUUUCAAGAGAUAAUACAACCAUCAAGUAAUCUGUCUCAAAUUGUUUUACAAACUUUAUAAGGAAAACCAGGCAGAAUACUAAAAGAAAAAGAAGAUACUUCCACAGAGAGGAAGCACACAUUGGAGGUCCUAAGAGGAAGUAAUGAAUCAUCUUUCGGUAAAACAAGUCUUUGUAUUCUGGAUUUUAAUGAUAAAAGUAUUUUCCAAAAAGAAAA